rnacentral:rRNA from 1 species
UACGUAGGGCGCAAGCGUUGUCCGGAAUUAUUGGGCGUAAAGGGCUCGUAGGCGGUCCAUCGCGUCGGGAGUGAAAAGCUGGGGCUUAACCCCAGUCCUGCUUUCGAUACGGGUGGACUAGAGGUAGGCAGGGGAGAAUGGAAUUCCUGGUGUAGCGGUGAAAUGCGCAGAUAUCAGGAGGAACACCGGUGGCGAAGGCGGUUCUCUGGGCCUUACCUGACGCUGAGGAGCGAAAGCAUGGGGAGCAAACAGG